rnacentral:lncRNA from 1 species
CUGAGAUCAUCAGUGCGCACGGCGAUUUCUCCUGUGAAUUUCCUACCGGCGCUAACCCACCCAGCGGGCCAACACGAAGAUGUCAUCUCACCUAGGGGAGUAAAAUCCUCCCAUUCUGGUUGGCAUAUCCAAAUCACGUAAGAAAGAAGGCCCUCUCCUUUCCAAGGCAUCAGGCCAUUACGAUGUCGCGUUUCAUCAGCACCGUCCGGUAGGGGCACACCCCCCUGUACCUUGAUGUACACCCCCUGUACCUUGAUGUGCGCAAUGGCUCGCAGCUCGACUCCAUAUAUGGUUCAGCCUACCCACCUCAUGCUUCAGGGGAGUUUAUUUCCACCGUGCGGAGAUGCAUUCGGCAGGCUGACUCUUAUCUGUACCGUUUAGGCUCAGACGUGGUCUGUAUCUCUCCGUAGAAUGAUCAUGGUGCCUGGCCAAUGAAGGAAAAUGAGUUGGCCUUUUGUAUUUCGCCACAUGCUUGCCGCCUGUGCGCUAUGCUCUUUUUGGAACUGACGUGAUA